rnacentral:rRNA from 1 species
AAUUUUGGACAAUGGGCGCAAGCCUGAUCCAGCAAUGCCGCGUGCAGGAUGAAGGCCUUCGGGUUGUACACUGCUUUUGUACGGAACGAAAAGCCCUGGGUUAAUACCCUGGGGUCAUGACGGUACCGUAAGAAUAGGCACCGGCUACCUACGUGCCAGCAGCCGCGGUAAUACGAAGGGUGCGAGCUUUAACCGGAAUUAAGGGGCGUAAAGCGUGCGCAGGCGGUUUUGUAAGACAGAGGUGAAAUCCCCGGGCUCAACCUGGGAACUGCCUUUGUGACUGCAAGGCUAGAGUACGGCAGAGGGGGAUGGAAUUCCGCGUGUAGCAGUGAAAUGCGUAGAUAUGCGGAGGAACACCGAUGGCGAAGGCAAUCCCCUGGGCCUGUACUGACGCUCAUGCACGAAAGCGUGGGGAGCAAACAGG